rnacentral:tRNA from 1 species
GGGGAGGUCUAUUGGUAGAAAAGCCGGGUCCGCACCUGCUAAAAAGGGGUUCGAUUCCCCUCCUCUCCA